AACGAACGCUGGCGGCAGGCCUAACACAUGCAAGUCGAGCGCCCCGCAAGGGGAGCGGCGGACGGGUUAGUAACGCGUGGGAAUGUACCCUUUUCUACGGAAUAGCCUCGGGAAACUGAGAUUAAUACCGUAUACGCCCGGUAACGGGGAAAGAUUUAUCGGAGAAGGAUCAGCCCGCGUAAGAUUAGAUAGUUGGUGGGGUAAUGGCCUACCAAGUCUACGAUCUUUAGCUGGUUUGAGAGGAUGAUCAGCAACACUGGGACUGAGACACGGCCCAGACUCCUACGGGAGGCAGCAGUGGGGAAUCUUAGACAAUGGGCGCAAGCCUGAUCUAGCCAUGCCGCGUGAGUGAAGAAGGCCUUAGGGUCGUAAAGCUCUUUCAGUGGGGAAGAUAAUGACGGUACCCACAGAAGAAACCCCGGCUAACUCCGUG
rnacentral:rRNA from 1 species